UACGUAGGCAGCGAGCGUUGUUCGGAGUUACUGGGCGUAAAGGGUGUGUAGGCGGUUGUUUAAGUUUGGUGUGAAAUCCCCCCGGCUCAACUGGGAGGGUGCGCCGAAUACUGAAUGACUUGGAGUGCGGGAGAGGAAAGUGGAAUUCCGGGUGUAGCGGUGAAAUGCGUAGAUAUCCGGAGGAACACCGGUGGCGAAGGCGGCUUCCUGGACCGACACUGACGCUGAGGCGCGAAAGCUAGGGGAGCAAACGGG
rnacentral:rRNA from 1 species